rnacentral:lncRNA from 1 species
CUCACUCCAAAUCUUCUUCCUGCAUUCCCACAGCAGGCUCAGUGGGGCAUCAUGAGACAGAAAAGCAAAUGAGAAAGGCCCCAAGCUCAUGCGCGCUCUGACCCUCUUGUAUGCUUUCACCCACUCAUGGGAGAAUGGGUCCUCACAUAUCUCGAGAAGGUUAAAUGGAGACUCAUCUUCAUCAUGGGUUUGGAUUCCCUUGUGAGGCUUCCACGGACAUACGGGGAGGGCUUCUCCAGAGAGGGUUUGGAUUUGCUGCUGUCAAAGGGAGGCACCCCUGGACCACAUUGAUAAUGUGAAGCCGAACUGCAGACCUGCACGAGGCACAGCUCCAGGCUGUUUGUUGUUGGGGCAGAUUUUUAUUUUCUCAUCCUGAACCCAGGUAGAGGUGUCUGCAUUUCCUCACCUCUCCCCAUACAGGUG